AAAGAGGAAGAAGUCGCAAACCGAGGUC
rnacentral:sRNA from 1 species